AUACAGAGGGUGCGAGCGUUAAUCGGAAUUACUGGGCGUAAAGCGCGCGUAGGCGGUUAUUUAAGUCAGAUGUGAAAUCCCUGGGCUCAACCUAGGAACUGCAUCUGAAACUGGGUAACUAGAGUUUAGGAGAGGGGAGUAGAAUUUCGGGUGUAGCGGUGAAAUGCAUAGAGAUCCGAAGGAAUACCAGUGGCGAAGGCGGCUCCCUGGCCUAGAACUGACGCUGAGGUGCGAAAGCGUGGGUAGCAAACGGAAUUAGAUACCCCAGUAGUCC
rnacentral:rRNA from 1 species